GCGCCCCCGGCAACGCUACUCGAUGAUGCUUUGCAUCACAGUGUGACAGCCAAGCUCUUCUGAGUUGAUGUUGUGGAGUUCAAGGGUCAUCUUUUGUCUAACUUCCAUAGAAAACAGGGCAGGAAUGACUCCUCACACACUCUUAUGCACGCUCAGAAAUAAGAAUGGGAAGCUGGAGCUGGAUUUUUAUAUGAAUAAGCAUGAUAUUUGGAUAGCAAACUUCCUUGCAGAUGAUGAAGAGAGCCCCAGAAGAAGGGUUCUGCACUCUCAGGAGGUGGUUCCAGAGUUUCCUGGCCCAGAAAUGUACUCAUUACAGCUCUUUGAUACAUUGAAAAUGGGUGAUCUGGAAGAGGAAGCAGGACAGAUUACAGACGGAAGACAGUUCUUUGUCAAGCCAGACAAAUGGACUGUGGGAUUCAUGAGUACCUUCAGACUGACCUGGUUCAACUGAGCAAUCAGCAAGGUGGUGGCGGAGCCGAGCAAGUGAGUAAGAAGCUGUUUGGCACCUGAGGAGCAGGCAUACAGUGAUGAGAAGAAGAGACCUGGAUACAGACAGAAAUGCCAGAAGGGGUAUAUCCAGUUCCAUUUUGCAGCUCAGCUACCUGGAGCAAUGACAGGGGAAAGAGAGGUGUUGGAUGUCCUGCGUACAGAAGAUAUUGGCAUGUAGUAGAUGUCUUUUCUCUUGUAUCCUGUUGUUCUCCAGGUGAAAUAACAUUUUACCCCUUGGUGAGAGAGCAAGGAGAAACUUGCUCUUUUUUUUUUCCCCUUUUGUUGGUCUAGGGAGCUGGGUGGAGAGAGGAAGAGGGAAUGUCAUUGUCAUCUGGGGAGAUCACGGAACAAAAAGUUAGGCAGGAGGGAGAAGGCUGCAGGAGCCAGCACAAGGAAAGCCUUGAUGCUUGAUGCUGCAGGGCUUGGCAGGUUCUCAUCCCUGCCUUGCUGUUAUUUGUGUUCCAUCCUGCCGAGGGAGAUGCCAAUAUGUGAAUGUGUUGGAGCAUCAUAUAAAAUGAGACUUUGAUUCUUGUGUACAAUUUGGACGUGCUUAAAACUCUUACCAGGAAUCAGGGAUCAGGGCAGUGCCAGUCCCUGUGCUCAAUCCUACCCUGUCCUGCCUAGUCCUAGUGUGGUCCUUCCCUGCUUGUCCUAAAUAGAAGAGGAUGCAGAAAGCUGCUUCCUUCCUCUCUUGGGGUGGCAGCAGUGGUCCUGUGUGGCCUCUUUCCCCAUUUUCAGGUUAACUGGUUAUAUUAAAGACUCAGAUGUUUUGAAUUUUCAGAAGUGUCUUCUGGACAUGGCUACCCAGGAUGGGUUCUCUGGGCAGCUCUGUGACGCUGCAGCAAGGGACUCUUGGUGGCAGUUGGUGUUUCGAAGAUUGCUGCAGAUGUUGAAGCUCCCGUUCAUCUCUUUCUUUUGGAUGGAAGCAAGCCCAAAUUGACUAUAAAAGAAGAAAUACUGGAAAAGCAUGGAACCUAGUGAGCUUCACCCCCCAGAUCCAGAUUGCAGCCCCCCUACUUCUCCUCUUCACAAGAGCUUUGUAGUACUUUAACAAGAAAGGGAAAAAUUUCUGUGCAUAAAACAGGAGGAUAUGAAUGUAGGUGACAGCUUGCACACCUGUCUGCUCAAAGAGCAGCUGAGCAAUCUGAGCAGCACCAGCCCUGCUAACAGUGUGUCACACUGCCUCAAGGCAGAGACUCCAGCAUUGCCCAGUAGCUCAGCAGAGAUCAGAGGGAGACUGGUGUGGUCCAUGUGAAGCUGGAAAAGCAAAUGCCAAACUCAACAGCAGAAACACAGGCUACAGACUUGUGUGUGUGUGUAAAUUCAUACAGGAGCAGAAGAGACGUAGAGAAGGGAUUCUUUGUGGCAGUUGGUGUUUUGAAGACUGCUGCAAGUGAUGAAACUCCCAUUCAGCUCUUCUCUUUUGUAUAGAAGGAAAGACUUGACAGAUCAAAGGUAGAGAAUCUUCAGUGGUGGAGACAGGAAAAAGUGAAUUGCAAGUCCUUAACAUACAGGAGCAGGAAGAUAUAAUGGAGUGGGAGAAUGUGAGAAGACCAGUGAAGAACAUUGAAAUGGAAAUAAAGACUAUUUCAGCAGAGUGGGAUGUGCUCUGAUGCAAGGUAACAAAUUUGUGGCUGUAUAUCCCUGUUGGUUUGGAGGGUUUUGGAGAGAGCAGGUCAAGGUGGGUUGAGAGGGAGUGACUUCCCCGUAAAGAGACUUAUCCAUAAAGAACAUAAUGGGCUUCUUCCUUGACCUGCUGACUGUUAACUUCUUCAGGCCCAGCCAAGCUCUUUUUAUCUUGCUGAUUGUGCUGGUCUUGGCUGGCAUGAAGUUACUUUUCUUCAUAGUGGCUUGUGUGGGGCAAUGUUCUAGUGUUGUGACUAAAACAGCCUUGAUAACACACCCAUGUUUUAAGCCAUUGCUUAGCAGUGCUUACACAGAGUCAAGGCCUUUUCUGCUCCUCACACGGCCCCACCAGUGAGUAGGCUGGUUAGGAGGGGAGUAGAAGUUGGGAAGGGACACAGCUGGGACGGCUGACCCCACCCCAGGUGACCAAAGGGAUAUUCCAUACCAUAUGAUGUCAUGCUCAGCCAUAAAAACUAGGGGGACAUUCAGAGUGAUGGCAUUUAUCUUCCCAGGCAGCCAUUAUGCGUGAUGGUGCCCUGCUUUCCUGGAGAUAGAUGCACACCUGCCUGUCAAUGGGAAGCAGUGAAUGAAUUCCUUAUUUUGCUUUGCAUGUGUCCACAGCUUUUGCUUUACCUAUUAAACUGUCUUUAUCUCAACCUAUGAGUUUUCUUACUUUUACCUUUCCAGUUCUCUCCCCCAUCCCGCUGGUGAGGGAAGUCAGAAAGUGGCUCUGUGGGGCUUAGUUGAUGGCUAGGGUUAAACCACAGCAGUCCUUUUUGGCACUUAACGUGGGACAGGAAAGGUUUGAGAUAACAGAUUUGAUUGGAAUGUGCUAGAUGGAAUUUAUAGCUGUUAUUGCUCUUUAGCUAUUACUUGGCAGGCUCCCAGGCUUGCCAUGGGGCUUGCUUGCUUUACUGUAUAUGAGUCUAGUGCUUGUUAGUGGCUGCUUUUGCUUUUGCUGCUUGUUGCACUGCUUAUCAUCUCCCUGUGCUGUGCCUGGGAGCAUUCUGAUAACAGCAGUGGUGAUGCGCCUGGACUGGCAGAUGGCCAGAGCAUCACUGCUGUUCCUGUGCGCUGUACUGGACAGGCUGGGACUCCGGUGUGAACUUGAGUCAAAGGGGCUGUGACCUGUGGAUGAGUUUACAUGGGAGCAGGACACCUCUAAGUGUCUGUGACUGUGGACGAGUCCACAACAGAGCAGGUACACCUUGAAGCAUCUGUGGCCAUGGUUAUGUCCGUGCCACAGCAAGUAUACCUCUGAAGAAAUUGUGGGCCAAGGAUAAGUCCAUUCUGGAGAAGGUACACCUUGAACCACUUGUGGCUGUGGGGAAGUCCAUGCCACAGCAGGUGCAUCUUGAAGCAUCAGUGGCUGUGCAUGUGGUCAUGCUGGAGCACCUCAAAGUCUGUGACACUGCCAGUACACCCCUGAAGGGACUGUGGCCAUGGGUAAGGCCAUGUUGGAGCAGGUUCACUCCUGAAGGGACUGACUGUGGGUAAGGCUGUGCUGGAGCCAGGUGUAUCUCUGAAGGCGUUGUGGCCGUGCUGGAACGGAUGCACCUCAAAGUGACUGUGGCUGUGGAUAAGUCUAUGCUGCAGCAGGUAUACUCCUGAAGAGACUGUGGCCCAUAGAUAAGGCUCCACUUGCAGCAGGUACCACUAAGGGACUGCAGUCCAUGGAUAAGUUUGAGCCAGAGCAGGGGCAAAGGGAGGUGUUCGUUGCAAUGUUAAACCCUAUAAACUGAUCCUAUGGGAGCAGGGGUGGGGAUUGUAAUGGCUAUACCUUUUAAAUUGUUGUAACCCAUGAUCUGAGUUGCAUGUUAUGGGAAUUACUAUAGCAGGAACCACCUGAACCAGUGGAGGACAAGCCUUACAAGAAGCAGUGCAAGUGCAGCAGUGACCUGACCUGAGCUGUCUUUGGUGCUCAGUAACUCCACAAGGGCUCUAAACAGCUGCCUGCUGAUGGGAAGUAUUGAAUGAAUUCCUUAUUUUGCUUUGCUUGUGCUCACGGCUUUUGCUUUUCCUGUUAAAGUGUCUUUAUCUCAGCCUGUGAGUUUUCUUUUACCCUUCCAAAUUCUCUCCCCAUCCCAUCUAGGGAGGGAGUGGCUGUGUGGGCCUUAAUUGCUGGCCGAAGUUAAAUCAUGACACCAAUUGGUACAAUUCAUGUGCGUGGACCCUCCUCCUAUUUCAGGUGGAGAAAACUGAGUGUGAGAAGUGUUGCCUGAAAACAGAGUUCUUGAAAUGCCAACAGCAACAGGCGCUGCUCAGAGCUCAGAAGAUGAAGGCUUGCCCUGCAGCAAGAAAUACGUGUAUUACUGCCAAGCUGUGCAGCAGAAGCAGAAAGCAAAGCUGGCGAGGUCUGCAGAAGAGAAGGCUGAACUGAAUGAGAAAAUCAGGAAUACAGAGAAGCACUUAGGGGUGCUGAUGGAGGCAUAGGUUUCCUGCAGAGGCCCAGAGAAAGAAGAUGUGAAGAGGUCAGAGCUGUGGGGUGGCUGAUUGGCAGGCCCUAUGAUCCCUAAGGUGCAGGGAGAGGGCAGGAGUCACCGUGUGCUGCUGUUUCCAUAGGACACUGCUUCCCUGGUAUCCCUCACCCUGCUCUAUAGGUAACUGGGUUGCAAGUGAGGAUCCUGCUGUUGUGAGGAGGCAGAAUCACCAGAUGAAUCCAAAUAAUUCAUCCGGCCUCAAAGAUGCCCUACAGAAAGGUUCUUUGUCCAUACUCUGUCUGUUCUAUAGUGUGGCACCUUGUUGCUGGAUUCCUUGCACAGUGUUGGUUCUGUGAUGGAGAUAAGGUUUGGGAUGGAGCAAGGAACCCCAGUGCACAUGGUACUCCUGGUAGGAAGGGGGAUAGCAGCUGGGUGUGUGAUGGGAGGUAUCAGAUCCAGGCUCUUGCCACUGACUCUCCUUUUGGCUUUUGCCCUGUUGCCUACGGUGUUAUGGAGAAACUUAAGAACCUGCAUAUGAAUGUGAGCUGGCUUCUCUCCUUCAUCCUCUCCUACCUGGAGCUCAAGGACAUUAACUCUGAGUUGCAUCAGGUGGAUGAGAUCUCGCAGAUCACACUGGAGGAGACAAACCUCAUGCUGGAGUAGUCCCCUCUCUCCUGCCACAGUGCCUUUUGCACAUGAUCAUUAAUAAAACCAUGGUUUCUUUACUUGUGCUCCAGGUCAUCAUUCUCAUGGGGUAGGGGGUUCUCCUCUGGUCCUGCAGGACUGGCUUGGCUCUUCAGCUCCACUGUGGAGAUGUAGUGUGAGUAGAGGGGACUGCAGUACAGGCAUGGCUCUGAGCACAGCCAGGCUGGGUCGUGCCUGGCCAGUGGACACCCCCAGUGGUUUCUUUGCUGUGCUCCUUAGCAGUCUGGGUUGAGUAGCAGAGAGGCAGGGAGACUCUGGCAGUGGCUGCCUGGCUUAUGGUACAAGAAAUAUCCCAGGAGAAUGUAGCCUGGGCACUCCUCUAUGGCUGUGCUGCAGUCUUCGUGUGACUAUCACAGCUGACUGGCUUGGGCUAGAGCAGUGUGGUUCUGAGAUUCAGGAUUUGGGUCCUUUCACUCUGGAAAGCAGCCUCUGUCUUCUUCAAGUGGUCUGAUCAGCCCACGCAGCAGCUAAACAGAGUCCUUGCCUGUGUUUUCCUCUUGAGUGCAUCUGUUUGUUAAAUAAUGUAGCAACACAAGAUUCCUUGAACUAAAUUCAUCUUCCCUUGUAGCUGCGGGAACAGUCAGUGGCAUGGUGACAUUGGGACUUGCAGUCAGAUCUGCUGCAAGGCUCGGGGCUAGCAUGGCAGAGCCCACCUUCUUUCAACAGAUGCUGUCCCAAGUAGAAACUUCACCUUUAAACUUUAGGCUUAUUUUCUUAGACUUCUCUUCAGUCAGCAGCAUGGCCAUCCUUCUAACCUGGAAAAAAUCAAGGACACCAGGGUGUUUGGAGGAAGAUGUGAGGCUCAAGAGCAGCCAGACAUCACACAGAAACAAUUGCACUGGGACCAAAGGAUGCUGCAUCUCCCUGUCCUGCCUCCAGCAUGGUUCAUGGGAAGAAACUAAGGGCAAAGGCAAGUGCAUGUAGUUCAGUGUUGUUCAAUCCUGUACCUACUUCCAGCUGAGGAGCUUCCUGUGUUUCCUACAGGUAUAAAAUGACUGGCUUAAAGGAGCUGAGGAGAAAUCCCCCUUACAGCGUUCGCUGUCCUUCCUAAAGAACAUUCUUUUGCCCAUAUGGUAGGUAUGAAGAUGAUGUGUGGGGUGGCCAGCACAGCAUUGCUCCUUUGACUCGAACACCUCAUUUAUUCUGGAAAGGCACAAGACCAUGUGCCAGAAACCAGCAGCUUAGGUGGUAUCGCCAAAUGUGUAGUAUGUGUUUCUUGGAAGUCAGAGCUGAGCAACAGAGCUACAUGAACAGAGAGUGCCCCAUCCUGUGUGGUAAGGGCUUUGACAUUGUCCUUUCCCCAUGGCUGGGCUUACAUUACUGCAUAAGUUACUUUCACUGUUGGUAGUGGAGAUAGGAAGGACAUGUCUAUAAAACUGUGGUUUUUCUGCAA